CCCACCUCUUCCCAUCCCGAACAGAGAAGUUAAGCCCUGCAGCGCCGAUGGUACUGGGGUUACACCCGGGAGAGUAGGUCGCCGCCACAU
rnacentral:rRNA from 1 species